GUGUUCUGAAGUGCUGGUAGUGUGGUGGGUGCCUUCGGGCGGUGUGCUGGAGAAGUGAGAGAAGAGAGGGGGAUGGAGGGGCCGAAAACGAAGUUAUCGCAAAUUUACAUUGUAGAAAGGAACCAUUUUCAAGCGUGCUGGACCUCGGAUCCGCCAGCUUUGUCUUU
ensembl:ncRNA F40E10.9 ncRNA